CGCGUGGACGCCCAGUUCUGCAUCUCUAGCUUUCUCCUCCUCCCAGUUGCAUCGCCACACAUCACUCACCACCCGUGAGCCAAAGAAACCGAGAGGGAGAGCUCCAGCUCUCCUCUUCCCUCUCCUCUUCGUUGCCGGCCGCCAGGAAGAAGGACGCCGCAACCCAUCGUCGAGACAUCGCCAACACCAAAUAUUUCCCGUUCCGUAUUCUAAUCUUCAUGCCGAACAAGUUUCCUUUUGACACCAUCUCAUUUCAUCCACUGCAGCGACGGGAACGCCAUCGUGCCCACGGGAGCUCCAGAGCGCGCCCGGAGCGCCGCCGCCACGACCUCGUCGCUGUCCCGGCUUCUGUGGAGCGAAUCCGGUCGAGCCGUCGCGCUAACAUCUUCCCCUCGAGGUCCUCUCCAAAUGCCCUCAAGAAUCCCCAAGAUCUGAGCACUGAGGAGAGAGAUCGAGCUAUUCUUCUCCAACUCCGGCCGCCGAGCUCCAUCUUUGAUUCUUCUUUCUCCGUGAGUCAAGCCGACGCCGUUCAUCGAGAAGGAGCGCCGUCGCCGAGCCGUUCCGAACGCCGUCGUCGACGACCAAGCUUCGCCAACCUCAUCCAAUACUACUGUUAGACUUAGUCUUCUUGAGUGGUGCGGGUUUCGAUUGCUUUUUCUAGGACUUGAACUUAAUGGGGUAAACCCUUAAUCGGUGUGCUUGUGGUUGGGUAGUCAAGCUUCCGCUGUUCUCUGUUAUCUAUCUAUAUUUGGUCGGUCGGCCUAUGUAACUAUAAAGUAGUUGUAAAUUUGAAUCGCUUUCGUCUUAUUUGUAUUUGCUAUGCAUAACCAUGCUUAAGAAGAAAGUGUGAAUCUAGUACAUAUCCUAGGAACAAGAUUCAUAUGAGUAUGAGUUAAGGAUAUUUGAGGUAUCGUAGAUCUUUAGCCCA